rnacentral:rRNA from 1 species
GUUAGCGGCGGACGGGUGAGUAACACGUGGAUAACCUACCUAUAAGACUGGGAUAACUUCGGGAAACCGGAGCUAAUACCGGAUAAUAUUUUGAACCGCAUGGUUCAAAAGUGAAAGACGGUCUUGCUGUCACUUAUAGAUGGAUCCGCGCUGCAUUAGCUAGUUGGUAAGGUAACGGCUUACCAAGGCAACGAUGCAUAGCCGACCUGAGAGGGUGAUCGGCCACACUGGAACUGAGACACGGUCCAGACUCCUACGGGAGGCAGCAGUAGGGAAUCUUCCGCAAUGGGCGAAAGCCUGACGGAGCAACGCCGCGUGAGUGAUGAAGGUCUUCGGAUCGUAAAACUCUGUUAUUAGGGAAGAACAUAUGUGUAAGUAACUGUGCACAUCUUGACGGUACCUAAUCAGAAAGCCACGGCUAACUACGUGCCAGCAGCCGCGGCAAUACGUAGGUGGCAAGCGUUAUCCGGAAUUAUUGGGCGUAAAGCGCGCGUAGGCGGUUUUUUAAGUCUGAUGUGAAAGCCCACGGCUCAACCGUGGAGGGUCAUUGGAAACUGGAAAACUUGAGUGCAGAAGAGGAAAGUGGAAUUCCAUGUGUAGCGGUGAAAUGCGCAGAGAUAUGGAGGAACACCAGUGGCGAAGGCGACUUUCUGGUCUGUAACUGACGCUGAUGUGCGAAAGCGUGGGGAUCAAACAGGAUUAGAUACCCUGGUAGUCCACGCCGUAAACGAUGAGUGCUAAGUGUUAGGGGGUUUCCGCCCCUUAGU